AUACGGAGGGGGCUAGCGUUGUUCGGAAUUACUGGGCGUAAAGCGCGCGUAGGCGGGCUGGUCAGUUGGGGGUGAAAUCCCGAGGCUUAACCUCGGAACUGCCCUCAAUACUGCCAGUCUUGAGUUCGAGAGAGGUGAGUGGAAUUCCUAGUGUAGAGGUGAAAUUCGUAGAUAUUAGGAAGAACACCAGUGGCGAAGGCGGCUCACUGGCUCGAUACUGACGCUGAGGCGCGAAAGCGUGGGGAGCAAACAGGAUUAGAAACCCGGGUAGUCC
rnacentral:rRNA from 1 species